GAGGAACAAGGACAGAAGGAUCAAAAUACAUGAGGAAAACAUGGGAAUGUUAUUGUAACUUUUCCUUUUGACACUGACCAAGGCAUCCAGCAACCUUCCCAACAACUUUGAGCUCCCAAGCAAUAUUAAGCCUUCUAUUUCUUUUGAAGUAAGAAAAAACAGUUCUCCAAUACAGAAAAAAAACUAAGUGGAAGGGGUUAAAUUCAUUGAACUUCGAGAUACUAAAAAUGGCUUUUACAGGAAAUAGCUCUGUCAAGAAUUGAAAAUGCUGCUCACUCAGAUUGACCAGGAGUGGUUCCUUCUAAACUACAUUUAUAUUGAUGGCAUGCUCAGGAAAUGGAGAAAAAUUCAGUAUAGACUUGAGGUUAGAGCUCCUCACUGGACGUGGGAGAUGGCAGUCAGGCUCUGGGUCUCACACACAGUGAAACAGGAACACCUCUUCAUAUGUUCAACAGGCCUUGCUGUAUGUCCCCUCCUCCAGAGGAGCCCAUGUUUUCUGCAAGCCAUGAAGAAAUGAUGAGAACUUGCUUUCCCUAAGACCUAAUUUUAACUGAAGUCAUGAUGAUGGUACAAUAUUAUACGUCAUUUACAGCACUGUGAUGUGGAACAUAUUUCUUUAGAACUGUUUCAGAACAGCAUUUGCUUAAUUAUGAACUAGGCAAGAGGGUAUAGAGUAAACAAAGGUAAAACAGACGCUACAGGGAGAAAUGUGGAGGUGAGCUGAGGAAUGCAGCCUUAUCUCUCUUGCGCCAGGCACUCAUGUGCUCACAUACUGGUUCAGGCUGUGACUUACGAAUUCCACUACAACCUGCAAGUCACAAUAGCUCAGCAAUUGGGGUGGAGAAUAUGUUAAUAACUUCUUAGAAUCAAUUGUAAUAUCCCCUCCUAUUCCUGCAUAUGUAUAAGUUGCCUCUAUAAACAUCCUCAAAGUGUCACUUUGCGGUGUGCAAACUAGGAGGGGGCUACCCCUUUGCACCCAGCAUGUGUGUGCUGCACUGUAAUAAAAAUAUAUACCUGCUUUAUAACUACUUUGUG
rnacentral:lncRNA from 1 species